CUGGAAUACUCACAGAGCGUAUAUUAAAGAAACACUAUAGUGUUAGGAAUACAAAACUGUAUUCCUAGUACUACAGUGUCCCUCUGUUCCUAACGCAUGCAUGUUAGACCUUCCCCAUAGGAAAGCAUUAAUGCAAUGGAUUUCUAUGGGCAUUUUAAAUAAGACCACACAGUACCUUCCAAAGUAACCCAAUUCACUUCUAAUAGGACAAAAAGGGUUUAUAAGAUAAAAAGAUUUCAUUAAUUGCAAUACAACGAAUGUAAUAUAUCUGCUUGAAUGCCCUUGUGGCUUCCAGUAUGUUGGAAUGACCACAAGGUGCUUAAAAAUUAGAUUAAGUGAACACUGCAGAAAUAUUAAAAAUGGAUACUUGAAUCAUUCAGUAUCCAAACAUUUUAUUAAACACAAUAAAGACCAGAACUGUUAAAGUGUAUAGGUAUCAAGAAAUGUACUAUAUCUUGGAGAGGUGGGGAUAUAAAAAAAUUCUUGGUAAAACAGAAAUGGAAUGGGUAUAC